AACACGCUCCUUAGAUCCACCUCUGGAGGGCGCUGUGCUCUGAGCAGAGCUCCUCAGCAGCUUUCUGGCUGUACAGUUGGAGGUGCUUGAGUCAUUGGCGUGUGAGAACAGUCUACCUGUCCCCCAGCCCACCUGCAUCACUGGCAACCCUGUCCUCUACAGACAGGGAGCUCCCAGUGCUGUAAACCUGGGGGACGGACAUG
ensembl:snoRNA